CUCUCUCUCUCUCUCUCUCUCUCUCUCGCUCUCCCCACACUAUCAUAGUUAGUUAUUGUGCUCAUCCUCCUCACAAUUGAAGCUCUGUUUCCACCAUAUGCAUCCUCUUGUAAUAGAUCUUUCUCUCUCUUUCCUCUUAAUCUCUCUUAAUCUCUCUCUCUCUCUCUCUCUCUAUUGCUUUUUUUUAAAAAAAAUUCUUAUUCUAUGAUAGCCUUGUAAUCCUUUGAGAAAAACCCAUAUCUUGUGAUAGGAUUUUUCGUUUUCAAAUUUUGUUACCUUUAUUUUCUUUUGUUAUUACCACGCUCAAAAUUUUUUGGGGAAAGAAAAAGGAACCUUUUAUGUUCAAUUUGAUAUUUCGUACGAUUGCUAGGGUUAGAUCUCUCCCUGAUGGGGCCCACGUGCACCACCGCCGUGUACGGCCUAGCCAAUCACGUCGCGCCAUGUCGGUCUCGCGCUCGUGUUCUUCGGGUUGGGGAAAUUAAUGGCGCAUCAAUCUUAGAGCUUUUAUUGUUUCUUUUUUUAAAAAAAUUUAUUUAUUUUUUUUAAUUUUUUUUUUUCAAUUGUUUGUUGUUGUCUCGCUGGAUCCCUCUUGCUCUUGUUCUUCUUUGGGGAGGUUUAAUUUGAUCCAAAAUUUAAUAAUAUAUGUGUUUUGUUCUUUCUCCUUCCCUCUGAUUAUUGUGUGCACCUGGUUCAUCCGUAUUUCUAUGGAGUCGUCAAAGAUCGGGGGUUUGUUUGGCUCUGCUUCUGUGAUCGCAUGCGUGUCAUAUGUAUACAUAUAUAUGGUUUCGAUUCGUUUGAAGUGCAUGCAGUAUCAUAAGAGCACUUCCAAAGUGCCGAUCCGGUGCUUUUCGUUUUCACCAUGUAGCCUAGCCAAACAAGCCCUAAGAUGUAAUAGACGUACAUCAGAUGACCGGGCGGUGCACAGAUGUACGAAUGCAUGCACUAGGUGCAUGGAAUAAUAUUCUCUUCUCCAUUAGGUUCUCCAUUUCUCCCCCUCCUCUCUCUCUCUCUCUCUCUCUCUCUCUCUCUCUCUCUUCAAUGGUGCUGCAAAUAUACAUAUAUACAGGAUGAAUGGAGCAGUCGAAGAUUGCGGAUGUGGCAUCAUCAAGAUUCACAUGGUCAUGAUCCAUCCAUGAUCAAAUUCUACAUGAGAAUCUUGAUGAUGCUGCAUCAGCAAUAAUCGACUAUUAUAUAUACACCAGGGAAAAUGCUUUGCCCUCACAACAAUGAGGUUAUCAAAAUAUAACAAAAAUACAUGCCUCAUAAAGUUGUAAAUUUGUUGUAACAACUACUAUGGUGAGAGGUGUUUGAUUUGAUCAUCCUUAUAUAUACCAUAUGUGGGUGCUCCGAAGAAAAAAAGAAACACUAGAUAUAUACAAAGUUUUUAUGGCAUGGCAUGAGAAUUUUCACCAGGUAAAGAAGUGCAGGGUGACAAUGGAAGUAGUUCUAGCCCGCACAAAUCAAAGGUAUGAUGAUACAUCACUUUCACUCAUUGAAUUUAAAAGUUUCAAUUAAUUUGUACAUUUGUUUUUUUUUCCAUUGUUAUGUAUAUACAUGAGUCCAUUACUCUUUAAAUUAUUGUUCAAUAUAUAUAUAUAUAUAUAUAUAUAUAUAUAUAUAUAUAUAUAUAUAUAUAUAUAUAUAUAGAAUUAUUGCUCUUAUAUGGAUUAGUGAAACAAAAUUCUCCUCCAUCUCAUGUGAACUAGCUGCAGCUAUACUGUAGUAAAUAUUACUCACUACUCUCCAAAUUUUUCAUUGAAUCACUCAAGGGAGCGCACUAAUUUACACCCUCGAGCCUAAUCCUAGCAUAUAUUCAUGUGCGCGCUAAUCCUACGCACUCAUGCCCUAAUCUUGAGCCCUUUCUUCUACCCAUGACUCCUUUCCGAGUAUUCAUAAUGUCCACAAAAGUCAUUUGUAAAAGAAAAAAAAAAUCAACUCCACUGCAGUAAACGAUACGAUUUCGUAGAAUUUUCAAACCAUCACCUCUGAUACAUAAAUCAAGGUUACAUUACAUCUAUUGAAAUACAUGCGGCAUAAAGUAUUGAGAAUGUACGUAUUUUAGAAGCGCGAUUAGGACAUGUCAACCCUAACGAGGAAUGUGAGACCCUCUUUCGCAUGUUUGGGCGCUGUUUGGAUGUGUUGUGUAAUUGGAAGUAAGGAGUUUGAUCUUCUUCUUUUUUUUUUCCUUCUUAAGAUGUUUUGACAUCUAUGUUUUGAUCGGAUAGGAUAUGUUAUUCCCAAAAAAUAAAUUAAAGUCUGAAUAUAUCUAUUUUAGAUAUUUGAUCACACUCUUUAUCUAACCAAAUAAUAUAUGUGUUUUGAGUAAAUCGAAGAGGUACAUGCGAAAACAAGAUAAUCGUCCAUCCAAGCAGGGCCUUCAUGUACAAGACAUUUACGCAAAAGGAAAGUGUAGAAACUUUUUUUUUUUUUUUUGAAGAAAAUUAAACCUCUCUUAACUGUACUAAAAGUAGCUUAGUGGGGGCAUGUGUUUGUGAGUGUACAUAUAUAUAUAUAUAUAUAUAUAUUGCACUAGAUCUUGUGAUGAGAAGGGACCAAAAGAGAGAAGAUCUUUAAAACGAGCAGGUGAUGGGAGAUGGUGAUGCCCACAAAAGAUCAAGUUGGUAGAACAUGCCAAGAGCUUUUCUUUUUGCAACUAGCAGUCACCAGCAGUGGUGGUGACGCAGGUGGACCUAAGUUUACGUACAUCAUGCAAUAAUAAACACUAUGCUUGUCACCUUCAUUGUGGACCAUCUCUCUCAACAGGAAAAGAAAAGGAAACCCUAGAUACUAGCCUAAAGGGGGCAAAAAAAAAAAAGAAAGAAAAAAAAAAGAGAAAAGAGGUGGACCAUUCAUUAUCUGGGCCUAUGUCGAGAGAAAGUGUCCUAAAAGGAUAUGCACAAUCAAGUAGGUAAAAAGGUACGGAAGUUGAUGUGAAUUUUUAGAUCAUUUGACAUAUAUAUAAGAGGGAUGUACUAAUUAUAUAUUGGCAGAGAAAGUUACUGUAUUUGGUUAUUAUAUAUGCUUGUUUUUGGUUAAUUAAUGUUACUAGAUUUAGCAAA